ACACACACACAGGGAAACCUAAUCUGACGUGAAGAGAACACAACAAACCACUUAGGAAAGGAAGAGAAGGUAAGAAUGUGCAGGAAUAGUUUCUUAAAAGAGCAAUAGACGAGUGUAAGUGCAUUGUCAGUGGAAGUGAGGAGUGUUUGCUAAAGUUACGCAGAUUUGAAGAGUUAAAAUCACUUUAUUGCUAGGCACAUCUGUACGUAACCACAGACCACUCUGAGACAUUCCUUCAUUCAUUUCUUUUUUUUUGUUUCGUAACCAUCUCUUAUCGUUAUACUAGCUAGAAAUCAGAACAUUUACGCCAUUGACCUCUUAAAGAGAUAUUGUGCAUUGCUUUGAGUGUUGUGUCUCAGUGAAAGGGUUUAUGGGCUGAAAACACGAGCUUAACUCAAUCCUGUUAAAGUGACAAGUAAGUUAAGAAACACACACACACACACACACACACACACACACAGAAGAUAUACAGUAGAUACGGAAACCCGACCAGACCAGACGAGUGUAGCUUAGUUCCUGUAUGCCACCCCCUCACUCACACACACACACACACACACACAAAGCCAUUAAACGGAGUGACCUGUAUAUUUAGGAAUUCACAAACCCAUGGAUGGCAACACUGAGCCAGUUCAUAUUCUCGCACAAACAGUUCGAAGCCUCAUGAAGGAAUGCAGCGAACCACCGGGUGCGUGCGGCGGCUGGCGGCAGGCGAGGGCAGGACGGAGAGACAGGACACACUUGAGCGCACAGAUUAGAGUAGCAGCGGUAACCCAACACCUCGCCGACCACCACCACCACCACCAGUGAGGAAAGGGAAGCACCCGCAACGUUUGUUCUAAAGUGGCGCCGUACGGUCCCGUGAUUGCAGUGCCCAAAAAAUGGCUUUCACCCAAUCAGCUUCUUGCCCCUGCCGGAUGAACCUGGCUGCCGCCCUUGUGUCUGUGGCCGGCCGCUGCGCCCGUGCCUCCACUUCCGCCAGUCGCCCCUGAGUGUCCCUGAGCCGCCCCAUCUCCACCUUGUAGUCGUCCCGCAGUGUCUCAUCCAUCUCCUCUCCACUAGCCUUCAUCAGCACUGCAUGGAGAUGAAGACAGUUAUGGCCCUCCACUAUCAUCACCACCAAGCAGCCCUAUCAAGACCCUCACUCAACACUGGAAUGAUAUUUAAUAAAACUCAUUUCCUCUCCAUCCCUUCCAUGGCACAAAUCAAGUGAAACAACGGGCA